AAAAAAAAAAAAAACACUAGAAUGAAAAGAACUUGGGUGUUCUUCUGUACCAGUGACAUUUGAGUUAAGAUUUGGUGUU
rnacentral:snoRNA from 1 species